rnacentral:tRNA from 1 species
GUGAAUGUAGCUUAGUGGUAGAGUGCUUGCCUAGCAUGCAUGAAGCCCUGGGUUCGAUUCCUUAGUACCACA